AUGAAAAGUAAGUGUGUAGCCAAUAACCUUAAGCAGGAGGGUCAUAAUCUUGGUCUGCUCCAUGGGGACAUGGAUCAGAGUGAAAGAAACAAGGUUAUUUCAGAUUUUAAGAAAAAGGACAUCCCCGUCCUGGUGGCCACUGACGUUGCAGCCCGUGGUCUGGAUAUUCCUUCAAUUAAGACAGUCAUUAACUAUGAUGUAGCACGAGACAUUGAUACCCAUACUCAUAGGAUUGGCCGAACAGGAAGAGCUGGUGAGAAGGGUGUAGCCUAUACCUUACUGACUCCAAAGGACAGCAAUUUUGCUGGUGACCUUGUACGGAACCUGGAAGGAGCCAACCAACAUGUUUCUAAAGAACUCUUAGAUCUCACAAUGCAGAAUGCCUGGUUUCGGAAAUCUCGCUUCAAAGGAGGGAAAGGCAAAAAGCUGAACAUUGGUGGAGGAGGCUUGGGCUAUAGAGAGCGGCCUGGGCUAGGCUCUGAGAAUUCGGACCGAGGAAAUAACAACAAUGUAAUGAGCAAUUAUGAAGCCUACAAACCCUCUACAGGAGCCAUGGGAGAUAGGCUCACAGCAAUGAAAGCAGCUUUUCAGUCCCAGUACAAGAGUCACUUUGUUGCAGCCAGUUUAAGUAAUCAGAAGGCCGGAACCUCUUCUGCAGGGGCAAGUGGAUGGACUAGUGCAGGAAGCUUAAAUUCUGUUCCAACUAAUUCCGCACAGCAGGGCCAUAAUAGUCCUGACAACCCCAUCACCAGUUCUACCAAGAACAUCCCAGGCUUCAACAACUCUGGGAAUAUCAGUAGUGCCCCAGUGACCUACCCUUCUAUUGGAGCCCAAGGAGUCAACAACACAGCUUCAGGGAAUAACAGCCGUGAAGGGAUUGGGGGUGGCAAUGGGAAGAGAGAGAGAUAUACUGAGAACCGGGGUGGUGGNCGUCAUAGCCAUGGAGAUGGUGGCAAUCGGCAUGGAGAUGGUGGGCGCCAUGGAGAUGGAUACCGUUAUCCAGAAAGUGGUAGCCGUCAUACUGAUGGCCACCGACAUGGAGAGACCAGGCACGGAGGAAGUGCUGGCAGACACGGAGAGAGCCGGGGUGCAAAUGAUGGCAGGAAUGGAGAAAGCAGGAAAGAAGGUUUUAAUNGUGAAAACAAGAUGGACCCCAAGGUGGAUAGCAGCAGGAUGGACAAAGUGGACAGCAAGACAGAUAAGACACCUGAUGGCUUUGCUGUUCCAGAGCCACCCAAACGCAAGAAAAGCCGGUGGGAUAGUUAGAGGGUAUGUGAAAUCAGCGUUGUCAGUUGUCUUUAAUUUUAUUUUUAGGAAGAGUUUGGUAAUGAGGUGUCUCAGGGCUGGGUUGGGGUCCAAGAUAUACAAAUCCCCUGCCCUUGGUGGAGAACUGGAGAGUGAAUUAUACCUUCAUCUGGUGUUCAUUCAGAGGUUUCCUUGGGAACCUGAGUUGGCCCUGGAAAGCAGAGAGCUGGGAAGCUUGUGUUGCUGUGGGUGAGUUUUAAGGAGGGUAAGUAGAGUACUUAGGGAGAAAGGGNCUUUUAGGGCACAAAAACUCACCCUGGGUUUAUAAUAGCUUAUAUUUUUUACUAAAAUGUCACCUUAUAAACAUCUAUAAAUUGGACUUUUUUUCCUAGCUGUGGCCAGGCAGUCCCAACUUCUGCUCUGUUAGGGAUGCUUGGGAAGCAAUGGUGCUUUCAGAUGUUUGCAGGGAAGGUGCCUGAGCUCUCAGGCUCCCCAGACUGUUUCCAGCCCUGAGACAUGUAGGAAAGACAGCCUUCCAGACACAGGCUUGAAAGCCACUGGGACUGAAAGAAUGAUCAUCUUUGAAGGAUUCCAGGAUGAUCCAGGCCUGGAGUACUGCUAAAUUUACCAUUUAAAACCAACCCCAACAGUAGCAUUCAAAGUGUCUAUUUGUUUUGUUUUGUUUUUUUAAACUUGCCCUAAUAGUAGAAAAAGUCUUCUGCUGAAAUGAUUUUGAUUUUUGUUCUAUCUUGUUUAUAAAAGAAAAAGAAAUAUACAAACUUUGAAUUUUGUGAUUUUUGUGAAGGUUUCUUUAAGAAGUGCAUUCCCUCUCUGCUUGCUCGAUAAUAAAUGUCUUACUACUGGGACCUGAGGGCUGUCGUUUCUACCAUGCAAGUUAGUUGCUACAUAUUAAAUUAUGGCUUGGA